rnacentral:rRNA from 1 species
GAUGAACGCUAGCGACAGGCCUAACACAUGCAAGUCGAGGGGCAGCACGAAGUAAGCUUGCUUACUUUGGUGGCGACCGGCGCACGGGUGCGUAACAGGUGUGCAAUCUGUCCAUAAUCGGGGAAUAGCCCAGCGAAAGUUGGAUUAAUGCUCCAUGUGAGCAGGGGAGGCAUCUCCUUUGUUUGAAACGUAAGGAUUAUGGGUGAGCACGCUUCUGAUUAGGUAGUUGGUGAGGUAACGGCUCACCAAGCCGACGAUCAGUAGGGGUUCUGAGAGGAAGGUCCCCCCACAUUGGAACUGAGACACGGUCCAAACUCCUACGGGAGGCAGCAGUGAGGAAUAUUGGUCAAUGGGCGAAGCCUGAACCAGCCAAGUCGCGUGAAGGAUGAAGGUUCUAUGGAUUGUAAACUUCUUUUGUCUGAGGUAAAAAAGCGGACGUGUCCGUUCUUGCAAGUAUCAGACGAAUAAGCAUCGGCUAACUCCGUGCCAGCA